rnacentral:lncRNA from 1 species
ACCAAGCCUGCAACCCAAGAUCCCAGCUUCUAGUCAUCUGGUGUAUUUGUUUUUGCUGCACCCUCCUGACCUGUCCCAAAGGCCAAAACUAAGUCAGAAACAGAGCUAGAAGUCAGUUACAAGUUGAGUCAACAAUGCGGUGAUGCCAUUACCCCUGGGCCUGUAACUGAGGGUACUUUUUGUAGUGAACGUGGGGGAGGGAAAAUCACUCUGAACACCUGUGCUGUGCAUACACUCACAACUCAUGGAGCAAAGUUCCUCUUCCACCAUUUCAUAGUCAGUCAGUCAACGAAUAUUUCCUGGGGGCUACUCCAUGCCAAGGACAGUGCUAGGCCUUGGAGAUUACACUAAACCAGACAGAGCCUCUCCGCAGAAUUACAUUCUGGUUGGGGAAGACAGAUAAUAAACAAGUCAACUAAUGAAUACACGAGACAGUGUAAAGGUGAUGGAGACUACUAUCAAGAUCCCCAUCCUAAUCAUAAGCAUUUCUAGGACCAUGACAAAUGUGGGAGAGCAGUGGAAAUGCUGAUUCAAGGGGCCUUCCAAUAAACACAAAUGGACUGAAUCCAAAGUGAAUGCAACACCAUCACAGCUUCUUAAGGGAAAACAGCAAGGGGAUGUUGGAAUUAAUUUGAGGCCUCUGACAUUGAGAGAGUUGGAAGCAAUACAAAACUCAAAAAGUCAAUCUGCUUUGGGAAUGUUAAAAAGAAACACUUGUUUGGAAAGAAUUUUUAAGUGUGCAAAACGAAGACUAUUUUCAGUGGAAUCUGCUCAGUGAGCCUGACCACACACUGGGGGAUGAGAGAUGUAUCGCUGAUAGUAAAAACACAGUAUAAAAGAUGAAAAAUGGUGCACCUGUAUAGGGCACUUACCAUGAAUGGAGCUUGCAGGACCAGAAUUUGCUCUGGGUGAGUCGGUGAGUGAGUGGGGAGUGAAUGUGACGGCCUAGUAAUGAUUGUUCACUACUGUAGACUUUAGAAACACCUACACUUAGGCAACCCUAGAUUUAUAAAAA